rnacentral:rRNA from 1 species
UAGGGAAUCUUGGACAAUGGGCGAAAGCCUGAUCCAGCCAUGCCGCGUGAGUGAUGAAGGCCUUAGGGUUGUAAAGCUCUUUCGCCAGGGAAGAUAAUGACGGUGCCUGGAUAAGAAGCCCCGGCAAACUUCGUGCCAGCAGCCGCGGUAAUACGAAGGGGGCUAGCGUUGUUCGGAAUUACUGGGCGUAAAGCGCACGUAGGCGGUUUUCCAAGUUGGAGGUGAAAUCCCUGGGCUCAACCCGGGAACUACCUCCAAAACUGGAUGACUCGAGUCCGAGAGAGGUGAGUGGAAUUUCCAGUGUAGAGGUGAAAUUCGUAGAUAUUGGAAAGAACACCAGUGGCGAAGGCGGCUCACUGACUCGGUACUGACGCUGAGGUGCGACAGCGUGGGGAGCAAACA